rnacentral:lncRNA from 1 species
CAUCUGUUCACAGUUUUAAUAUGAAGUAAUUUUAUCAAAAAUUUUAACUUGAAAAAUUUUAUACAAUUUGGAUAAAGUGGCUCUCGUGCAUCCUUUACAAGCUUUGCAAACUGUUCAAAAGUCCCUUCUACCUCAAGCCGGAUAUUUUGUUUAUGAUCAGAAUUGCUUUCAAAUACAGUAGUACUCAUGUGUAUAUUUGA